rnacentral:rRNA from 1 species
GGGAACAUACCCUUUUCUACGGAAUAGCUCUGGGAAACUGGAAUUAAUACCGUAUACGCCCUACGGGGGAAAGAUUUAUCGGGGAAGGAUUGGCCCGCGUUGGAUUAGCUAGUUGGUGGGGUAAAGGCCUACCAAGGCGACGAUCCAUAGCUGGUCUGAGAGGAUGAUCAGCCACAUUGGGACUGAGACACGGCCCAAACUCCUACGGGAGGCAGCAGUGGGGAAUAUUGGACAAUGGGCGCAAGCCUGAUCCAGCCAUGCCGCGUGAGUGAUGAAGGCCUUAGGGUUGUAAAGCUCUUUCACCGAUGAAGAUAAUGGCGGUAGUCGGAGAAGAAGCCCCGGCUAACUUCGUGCCAGCAGCCGCGGUAAUACGAAGGGGGCUAGCGUUGUUCGGAAUUACUGGGCGUAAAGCGCACGUAGGCGGAUAUUUAAGUCAGGGGUGAAAUCCCAGAGCUCAACUCUGGAACUGCCUUUGAUACUGGGUAUCUUGAGUAUGGAAGAGGUAAGUGGAAUUGCGAGU